UACUCCUACGGGAGGCAGCAGUGGGGAAUUUUGCGCAAUGGGGGAAACCCUGACGCAGCAACGCCGCGUGAGUGAUGAAGGCUUUCGGGUCGUAAAGCUCUGUCAGUAGGGAAGAAAUGAAAGGUGCUAAUACCAUCUUUUCUUGACGGUACCUACAAAGGAAGCACCGGCUAACUCCGUGCCAGCAGCCGCGGUAAUACGGAGGGUGCAAGCGUUGUUCGGAUUUAUUGGGCGUAAAGCGCGUGUAGGCGGUUUCUUAAGUCUGAUGUGAAAGCCCUGGGCUCAACCCAGGAAGUGCAUUGGAUACUGGGAGACUUGAAUACGGGAGAGGGUAGUGGAAUUCCUAGUGUAGGAGUGAAAUCCGUAGAUAUUAGGAGGAACACCGGUGGCGAAGGCGGCUACCUGGACCGAUAUUGAC
rnacentral:rRNA from 1 species